rnacentral:rRNA from 1 species
CACGUAGGGGGCAAGCGUUGUCCGGAAUCAUUGGGCGUAAAGAGCUCGUAGGCGGCUCAGUAAGUCGGGUGUGAAAGCCCGGGGCUCAACCCCGGGAUGCCGCCCGAGACUGGACGGCUUGAGGUCGGAAGAGGGGAGUGGAAUUCCAGGUGUAGCGGUGAAAUGCGUAGAGAUCUGGAGGAACACCCGUGGCGAAGGCGGCUCCCUGGUCCGAUUCUGACGCUGAGACGCGAAAGCGCUGGGAGCGAACGGG